rnacentral:rRNA from 1 species
GACCCCAAGUCAGGUGGGAUCACCCGCUGAAUUUAAGCAUAUCAAUAAGCGGAGGAAAAG